rnacentral:lncRNA from 1 species
CUUUCAGCAACUGAGGAAGUGGUUUAAGAAUAAGAAAGGACCUUAGAAUCGGAUGCGCUCGCCCAGCGAGAAAGGCCCUGACCCUGCCAACCAAGUAUCAAAAAGAAAGAAGAGAAAGAAAGGAGAAGAGAACUUCGUAUUUUGGUAACUCUCUAGGAGUAAUAUUUAACCUUGAAUGCUAUUAAUAGAUUCUACAGCUUU